rnacentral:misc_RNA from 1 species
ACACCUCAACUCUCAUGGUUUGCCAUGACGAGCUUGGACUUUGGGGGUCUUGCUGGCCUGUGGUCGGCUCCUCUCAAAUGAAUCAGCUUUCCAGUGUUUGGUGGCAUCACAGGUGUGAUAAAUAUCUACACUUGCGGUUUCCCACCAAGUAACCUUUCAGCAAUGGAGGUUUGCUGGGGCUCAUAAAUGUCUCUCCUCAGUGAGGACAGCUUUUUGAAC